rnacentral:rRNA from 1 species
GCAAGUCGAACGAGAAGCCAUCUUCGGGUGGUGGACAGUGGCGCACGGGUGAGUAACGCGUGGGAACCUGCCCCGAGGUUCGGAAUAACGGCUGGAAACGGCCGCUAAUACCGGAUGUGACCUAUGGGUGAAAGAUUUAUCGCCUUGGGAGGGGCCCGCGUCCGAUUAGCUAGUUGGUGUGGUAACGGCGCACCAAGGCGACGAUCGGUAGCUGGUCUGAGAGGAUGAUC